AUCUAUAGCCAACCACCCUGAAUGCACCCAUCUCAUCUGAUUUUGGAAGCUAAGCAGGGUCAGGCCUUGUGAGCACUUGGAUGGGAGAAGAGUACAUCAUAAUACAUU
ensembl:rRNA 5S_rRNA 5S ribosomal RNA